UACGGAGGGUGCGAGCGUUGUCCGGAAUCAUUGGGCGUAAAGGGCGCGUAGGUGGCCACUUCAAGCGUGCGGUGAAAGUCGGGGGCUCAACCCCUGAUCGGCCGUGCGAACUGGGGGGCUGGAGCACUGUAGAGGCAGGCGGAAUUCCGGGUGUAGCGGUGGAAUGCGUAGAGAUCCGGAAGAACACCGGUGGCGAAGGCGGCCUGCUGGGCAGUUUUGCUGACACUGAGGCGCGACAGCGUGGGGAGCGAACAGG
rnacentral:rRNA from 1 species